rnacentral:rRNA from 1 species
CAGGAUGAACGCUAGCGGCGCACCUAAAACAUGCAAGUCGUACACUCGCAAGAGUGUGGCGAACGGGUGAGUAACGCGUAGGAAUCUGCCUCAAUCCGGGAAAUACCCCACCGAAAGGUGGGCUAAUGUCCCAUGUGCUCGCAAGAGUAAAGCUCCGGCGGAUUGAGAGGAGCCUGCGUCCUAUCAGCUUGUUGGUGGGGUAAUUGCCCACCAAGGCUAUGACGGGUAGGAGGUCUGAGAGGAUGAUCUCCCACAAUGGCACUGAGACACGGGCCAUACACCUACGGGUGGCAGCAGUUAGGAAUCGUACACAAUGGACGAAAGUCUGAUGUCGUGACGUCGCGUGAAGGAUGAAGGUCUUCGGAUUGUAAACUUCUUUUCUGCAGGAGGAUUAUGACAGUACUGCAGGAAUAAGCACCGGCUAACUACGUGCCAGAAGCCUCGGUAAUACGUAGGGUGCGAGCGUUAUCCGGAAUUAUUGGGCGUAAAGGGCGCGUAGGCGGUCCAUCAAGUCCAAUCUUAAAGCCCGUGGCCUAACCACGGAGAUGGAUUGGAAACUGUUGGACUUGUAGUAAUUGCAGGGGUAAGCGGAAUCUACGGUGUAGGGGUAAAAUCCAUUGAUAUCGUAGAGAACACCAAUGGCGAAGGCAGCUUACUAGGAAUUCACUGACGCUGAGGCGCGAAAGCGUGGGUAGCGAACGGGAUUAGAUACCCCGGUAGUCCACGCCGUAAACGAUGCAAACUAGGUAUUGGGAUUUCGACCGUCUUGGUACCGAAGNUAACGCGUUAAGUUUGCCGG